rnacentral:rRNA from 1 species
AAACCGUAUAGAGGUUAAGCUCGUUGAAUCUAAAUAUCUAUCCGGUGGAAUUCAAUAUUACAGCCCGUAAAACAGGCUGCAGUGUGCACUUUCCACCGGCUACGACAUUGCAAUCCGUCGGAUUGGUUCAGGCUGCUUGCAGCCGCGGACCGCGCUUGUCUAUGGGGCCGCCUGCUCGAUCCUCGUGUUCGACCCAUCACUUGUGGUGUGUCGACCGGGGAAGCGGUGGUACUCGGCAAUGCAGAGCCAACGGAUUCAAUACGGACAGUAUGGCAUACACAUGCGAUCGGCUUGCCGAUUUAUACGCGUCCCAUUUGCAAUGCAUUAAAGAUUUAGAUACCUUCGAGACCCGUCUUGAAACACGGACCAAGGAGUCUAGCAUGUGUGCGAGUCAUUGGGCAGUUUCCCAACGCCCCUUCGUCGGUCUGCGGCGCAGCAAUGUGUCCGGCCGGCGUACGGGGUGGGAAAGUUUACUCAGUAAAACCCAAAGGCGCAAUUAACAUGACUGUUAUGGGAUUACAUGGGCCUCAGCCAAAAGCAUAUAGGCCCAUCUCCAUCCCGGGGCGAUUCAUCAGGUAACCUCGGUUAUCGAGUCGUACCUUGAGCACAUAUGGUA